UCAUUUUAUUCCAAAUACUGCUCUGGUAGAUUGUACAGCAGACUCUAAUGUUACAAGCUGUUACCAUGACUGGUUAUGUAAAGCGAUUCAUGUAAUCACUCCAAACAAAAAGGCCAAUUCGGGACUGCUCGAUAAGUACCUAAAGCUGAGAGCUCUUCAGCGACAAUCCUACACAUUACUUCUAUGAAGCAACUGUAGGAGCAGGUCUUCCAAUUGUUAGCACUUUACGGGGCCUCCUUGAAACUGGGGACAAAAUAUUGCGCAUUGAGGGCAUUUUCAGUGGCACUUUGAGUUAUAUUUUCAACAACUUCACCGGUACUAGAACCUUUAGUGAGGUGGUAGCAGAGGC